rnacentral:sRNA from 1 species
GUAGCAGUCUGAAGACUGAUGGCUUCUGUUUAUCCACAGAGCAGCUACAGGAACAGCAGCAACUUCUCAACCACGCUUCAGCUCAAACCUGACUCCUGAGCUGGAGGGACCACGUCCAAUGAGGAGAGGGGAGUUCACUCUCCAAGGCCCAUUAACGACCUUGACCUCU